GAUGAACGCUGGCGGCGUGCCUAAUACAUGCAAGUCGAGCGAACAGAUGAGGAGCUUGCUCCUCUGACGUUAGCGGCGGACGGGUGAGUAACACGUGGAUAACCUACCUAUAAGACUGGGAUAACUUCGGGAAACCGGAGCUAAUACCGGAUAAUAUAUUGAACCGCAUGGUUCAAUAGUGAAAGACGGUUUUGCUGUCACUUAUAGAUGGAUCCGCGCCGCAUUAGCUAGUUGGUAAGGUAACGGCUUACCAAGGCAACGAUGCGUAGCCGACCUGAGAGGGGGAUCGGCCACACGGGAGCUGAGACACGGUCCAGACUCCUACGGGAGGCAGCAGUAGGGAAUCUUCCGCAAUGGGCGAAAGCCUGACGGAGCAACGCCGCGUGAGUGAUGAAGGUCUUCGGAGCGUAAAACUCUGUUAUUAGGGAAGAACAAAUGUGGAAGUAACUAUGCACGUCUUGACGGUACCUGAUCAGAAAGCCACGGCUAACUACGUG
rnacentral:rRNA from 1 species